UGCCAGCAGCCGCGGUAAUACGAAGGGACCUAGCGUAGUUCGGAAUUACUGGGCUUAAAGAGCUCGUAGGUGGUUAAAGAAGUUGAUGGUGAAGUCCCAAGGCUUAACCUUGGAACUGCCAUCAAAACUUUUUAGCUAGAGUGUGAUAGAGGUAAGUGGAAUUUCUAGUGUAGAGGUGAAAUUCGUAGAUAUUAGAAAGAACACCAAAUGCGAAAGCGCUCUACUGGACCAUUACUGACACUCAGAGGCGAAAGCUAGGGUAGCAAAAGGGAUUAGAUA
rnacentral:rRNA from 1 species